UAUUUGCACCCGAAUUAAGGUUGAGGUGCAUUUUUUUGUACUUCAUUAAAAGGGAAUCAAGUGAAAAACUUGAGCUGUACCCGCAACUGUAAGCUAUAAAGCUUGUUAUUUUCUACAAUACCAUUGUUCGUUUACGAAUGAGAAGGUGAAUAACAAGACGCAAGCCAGGAGACCUGCCUAUUUCGCUAGAGUAAC
rnacentral:ncRNA from 2 species